rfam:Gossypium raimondii Chr08_contig_1300, whole genome shotgun sequence.
CAUUAAAAUUUUCUUCUAUAUGUACUGUUAAAAAUUGACACGACUAAUGAAAUAACCAUAUAGCGAGACGUGGCAUGCCAUGUGUACUUUAAGCUUAUAGGACCAAUUUUUAACAGGAAAAAUAAAUGAAAUUUUAAACA